GUAUUUUAAUCAGAAUAACAUAUACUAAAACUGGAAUGCUAUAGAGAAGAUUAGCACGGCCCCUGUGCAAGAACAACCCCUUCUACUAUUCUAUUUCACCUCCUCUA